rnacentral:rRNA from 1 species
AUUGAACGCUGGCGGCAGGCCUAACACAUGCAAGUCGAACGAGUGGCGGACGGGUGAGUAAUGUCUGGGAAACUGCCUGCUGGAGGGGGAUAACUACGGGAAACGGUAGCUAAUACCGCAUACCAUCAGAUGGGCCCAGAUGGGAUUAGCUAGUUGGUGGGGUAAUGGCUCACCAAGGCGCCGAUCCCUAGCUGGUCUGAGAGGUUGACCAGCCACACUGGAACUGUGCCACGGUCCAGACUCCUACGGGUGGCAGCAGUGGGGAAUAUUGCACAAUGGGCGAAAGUCUGAUGCAGCCAUGCCACGUGUAUGAAGAAGGCCUGCGGGUUGUAAAGUACUUUCAGCGGGGAGGCGUUACCCGCUGAAUAAGCACCGGCUAACUACGUGGCAGCAGCCGCGGUAAUUC